rnacentral:rRNA from 1 species
GACGAACGCUGGCGGCGUGCUUAACACAUGCAAGUCAGGGGGCGGGGUAACCCGUCACCGGCGAACGGGUGCGGAACACGUGAGCGACCUGCCCUGGUGUGGGGGAUAGCCGGCCCAACGGCCGGGUAAUACCGCAUACGGCGCCCGCUUGGAAGCGGGAGGCGAAACUCGCAAGAGGCGCCAGGAGGGGCUCGCGGCCUAUCAGCCAGUUGGUGCGGUAACGGCGCACCAAGGCGAUGACGGGUAGCUGGUCUGAGAGGAUGGCCAGCAACAUUGGGACGGAGAGGCGGCCCAGACUAGUACGGGAGGCAGCAGUGGGGAAUAUUGCGCAAUGGGCGAAAGCGUGACGCAGCGACGCUGCGUGGAGGAUGAGGCCCUUCGGGGUGUAAACUCCUGUGGGAAGGGACGAAUGCCCCGAAUCGGCGGGGUUGACGGUACCGGGUGAGGAAGCACCGGCUAACUCUGUG